rnacentral:rRNA from 1 species
AUACCGGGCCUUUUUGGGCUUGGUAAUUGGAAUGAGGGAGAGUUAAACGGACCAUCGAGUAUCCAUUGGAGGGCAAGUCUGGUGCCAGCAGCUGCGGUAAUACCAGCUCCAAUAGCGUAUAUUAAAGUUGUCGCAGUUAAAAAGCUCGUAGUUGGACUUGUGUGCGCUGUCCGCGGGUGGCCUGCGCCCAAAAGGGCGUUUCGGUUCGGCCCCGGUGGCGCCUUGAAAUCUGCAGCUGGGGGGACGUUGGCCUUAACUGGUCGGCGACCGCACGCCGGCUGCUCGGUUACUGUGAGAAAAUUAGAGUGUUCAAGGCAGGCAUUGGGUGCAAUUGAAUACAUUAGCAUGGAAUAAUAAAAUAUGGCUCCUGCCGUAUUUUGUUGGUUUUGACUGGUGGGAGUAAUGAUUGAUAGGGACGGUUGGGGGUGCUAGUAUUGAGCGGCCAGAGGUGAAAUUCAUGGAUUCGCUCAAGACUAACUUAUGCGAAAGCAUUCACCAAGGACGUCCUCUUUAAUCAAGAACGAAAGUUGGGGGAUCGAAGACGAUCAGAUACCGUCGUAGUCUCAACCAUAAACUAUGUCGACUUGGGAUCGGCGGUAGUUUUUUCAUUAAGACACUGUCGGGACCACGGGAGAAAUCAAAGUGUCUGGACUCUGGGGGAAGUAUGGUCGCAAGGCUGAAACUUGAAGGAAUUGACGGAAGGGCACCACCAGGAGUGGAGCCUGCGGCUUAAUUUGACCCAACACGGGGAAACUUACCAGGUCCAGAGAUGUAGAGGAUUGACAGAUUGAAGCUCUUUCUUGAUCACUUCGGUGGUGGUGCAUGGCCGUUCUUAGUUGGUGGAGUGAUUUGUCUGGUUAAUUCCGUUAACGAACGAGACCUCAGCCUGCUAGUGUAGUCGGCUGGAUUGCCUUUGGCGAUCCGUGAUUUCGACUUCUUAGAGGGACAAUCGACGCGCAGUCGAUGGAAGUUUGAGGCAAUACAGGUCUGUGAUGCCCUUAGAUGUUCUGGGCCGCACGCGCGCUACACUGCUGGGCUCAGCGAGUUUUACUUGGCCGAGAGGCCCGGUUAAUCUUGUGAAAUCCCAGCGUGCUUGGGCUCGCCUCCUGCAACUGGAGGCGCCAACGAGGAAUUCCUAGUAGACGCAGGUCAUCAACCUGCAUCGAUUACGUCCCUGCCCUUUGUACACACCGCCCGUCGUUCCAUAAGAGUGAGGCAUCCGGUGAAUUCUCGGGAGAGCCUGGGCGUGGCCAGCAAUGGUCUGCUCGGGUUUGAACUUGCAUAAACUUGGUGCCUAUGAUUAGGG